UACGUAGGGUGCAAGCGUUAAUCGGAAUUACUGGGCGUAAAGCGUGCGCAGGCGGUUAUGCAAGACAGAGGUGAAAUCCCCGGGCUCAACCUGGGAACUGCCUUUGUGACUGCAUAGCUAGAGUACGGUAGAGGGGGAUGGAAUUCCGCGUGUAGCAGUGAAAUGCGUAGAUAUGCGGAGGAACACCGAUGGCGAAGGCAAUCCCCUGGACCUGUACUGACGCUCAUGCACGAAAGCGUGGGGAACAAACAGG
rnacentral:rRNA from 1 species